rnacentral:rRNA from 1 species
GACGAACGCUGGCGGCGUGCCUAAUACAUGCAAGUAGAACGCACAGUUUAUACCGUAGCUUGCUACACCAUAGACUGUGAGUUGCGAACGGGUGAGUAACGCGUAGGUAACCUGCCUGGUAGCGGGGGAUAACUAUUGGAAACGAUAGCUAAUACCGCAUAAUAUUAAUUAUUGCAUGAUAAUUAAUUGAAAGUUGCAAUUGCACCACUACCAGAUGGACCUGCGUUGUAUUAGCUAGUAGGUGAGGUAACGGCUCACCUAGGCGCCGAUACAUAGCCGACCUGAGAGGGUGAUCGGCCACACUGGGACGGAGACACGGCCCAGAGUCCCACGGGAGGCAGCAGUAGGGAAUCUUCGGCAAUGGACGAAAGUCUGACCGAGCAAGGCCGCGUGAGUGAAGAAGGUUGUCGGAUCGUAAAGCUCGGUUGUAAGAGAAGAACGGGUGUGAGAGUGGAAAGUUCACACUGUGACGGUAUCUUACCAGAAAGGGACGGCUAACUACGUG